GUUUGUAGAAACGGGACUAAAAGGAGUGAAAGCUGCAGGUGUGGUGAUUAAUUUGCUGACUGUGCCUCUAGAUAUUCAUACAAUAGUCACCAACAGCAUCAAAAUUCACAAGAAAACUCCGUCCAAAACUGCAGAAGAAAUUCGGAGCAUAGCGGAUAAUUUAAAAGGGAAAGAGGUUUCAGAGCCUUCUGACGAAGUGCUGAAGCUGAGGAAGAGAAUUGAAGACAUAUCGAGAGAGCAAGAGAAACAUUCUCACACCUGGGAGGAGUCGAAAGAAAAGAUUUCAGAAGACAUCACUGUUGAAAUGGAAAUUAUUUCCAUGGAGUAUGAAUAUGUCAGGCAGGCUUUGUUGAGGUCAAAAUGGUUCACCCUUCUUGUGGAGACUGUGUUAGCUUCAGUGGUUUCCCUGCUUACCGUUUGUUUAUGUCUCGAAGGUGGAGGGUGGGUAUGCACUAUUGCACAUGGAGCCUUGAUGUUAUACGACGUCUUUCUGCUUG